rnacentral:rRNA from 1 species
AGAGUUUGAUCAUGGCUCAGGAUGAACGCUAGCUACAGGCUUAACACAUGCAAGUCGAGGGGAAACGACAUCGAAAGCUUGCUUUUGAUGGACGUCGGCCGGCGCACGGGUGAGUAACGCGUAUCCAACCUGCCCACCACUUGGGGAUAACCUUGCGAAAGUAAGACUAAUACCCAAUGACGUCUCUAGAAGACAUCUGAAAGAGAUUAAAGAUUUAUCGGUGAUGGAUGGGGAUGCGUCUGAUUAGCUUGUUGGCGGGGUAACGGCCACCAAGGCGACGAUCAGUAGGGGUCUGAGAGGAAGGUCCCCCANACUUGGAACUGAGACACGGUCCAAACUCCUACGGGAGGCA